AUCGAACGCUGGCGGCAGGCCUAACACAUGCAAGUCGAGCGGAUGAAGCGAGCUUGCUCCUGGAUUCACCGUCUGACGGGUGAGUAAUGCCUAGGAAUCUGCCUGGUAGUGGGGGAUAACGUCCGCAAACGGGCGCUACUACCGCAUACGUCCUGAGGGAUACAGUUGGGGAUCUUCGGACCUCACUCCCUCAGAUCAGCCUAGGUCGGAUUAGCUAGUUGGUGGGUUAAAGGCCUACCAAGGCGACGAUCCGUAACUGGUCUGAGAGGAUGAUCAGUCACAUUGGAACUGAGACACGGUCCAGACUCCUACGGGAGGCAGCAGUGGGGAAUAUUGGACAAUGGGCGAAAGUCUGUUCCAGCAAUGCCGCGUGUGUGAAGAAGGGUUUCGGAUUGUAAAGCACUUUAGGUUGGGAGGAAGGGCAGUAAGUUAAUACCUUGCUGGUUUGACGGUACUAACAGAAUAAGUAACGGCUAACUAAGUG
rnacentral:rRNA from 1 species